rnacentral:rRNA from 1 species
CCUUCGUUAGGGCAGCGGGGGGAAACCUUUACAUAGUGGGCAAGCAUCAUAAGGGAGCACCGAUGCCAGCCACAAUACGACGGUCCAUGGCGUAUAAAAACACUUGACUGAGGAAU